AAUAUAGGGGCGUGACCUGCUGACAUCGUCAGCAACAUGCCCAGGCAGUCAGGAUCCUCAAGACUGCGGCACGCUGUUCGUGUUCGAUCCACCCAAGGCCGCUGAGCUUCCGGUAGCGCGGUCGAUCGACAUCUGUCGAUGGAGGC
rfam:Pseudomonas agarici strain NCPPB 2472 genome.